rnacentral:lncRNA from 1 species
UGAAGAGGUACGGCAGCAAGAAACCCCUUUGCCUUCCAGCUCAGCAUUUGCUGAAGCUGGUAGAAGAGGCAGCAUCAUGCAUGCACUGCCAAGGCACUCCUCUUAUCGAGGUGUUUCUUAGGGCUGAAGAAAAGAGACACAGCGCGGUCAUGGUGGAUCUGUUUGUUUGCCGCAGCCUUCGUGGUCCCUGGAAGCAUUAGCUGGUGCCUGGAUAAGGGAUGAGGACUGUUUGUUGAGAAAUACUGAGACCCUCGGGCAGGAUGCUGUAGGUGUAAAAGAUGAGUCAAACAGAAAACCUUUCAGAGGACUGCAGCAAGAGGUAAGCAUCAGUUUUUGUUUCACACUUUCCUUAUGUUCUAAUUGGAACCUUGAUAAACUUGAAAGGUGGGCCCAUGUGGACCUAAUGAGGUUCAACAAGGCCAAGUGCAAGAUUUUGCACUUGAGUCAGGGCAAUCCCAGACAUGUAUACAGACUGAAAGAAGAGCCCCUUAAGAGCAGCCCUGCUAAGAAGGACUUAGGGGUCUCAGUUGAUGAAAAACUUUA